rnacentral:lncRNA from 1 species
AAAAAUCUAAAAUUUCUUUAAUUUUACAUCUCUGAUGAGUUGUGGAGCAAAAUCUGAGUAUUUCACAAGAACAAAUACUUUGAGGUUAAAGGAGCUCUUAUCCAACAGAAACUAAGUUGGCUGGAGAAAAUUUACCAAGGAAGGUAACAAAUACUAGUCCUAUGCACAGUGUGAUUAAAUGUCAUCUUCUGGAAUUCUUUGAUGUGUUUUAAAAAAAUUACUCUGGCUUCUUUGUGAAAAGUGGAUUGAGGAGAAUUAAAACUAGAGGCCAAAAAGCUGGAUAGGAAGUUGUUAGAGUAAUCCAGAAGAGAGAUAACAAUGGCUUUGAUUAGGAUUGUAACAGUGAGGGUUGAGAGAAGUAAGCAUUUAAGAGCAUCUUACGAAGAAAUGCUGCUAAGAAUUCAUGAUUAAUUGAAUAAAGUAAGACGUAAAGAUUAAUCCUAGAGUAGUAGUUUAAGCAUCUGGUCAUAUUUACUAAAUUAAGGUAUUUUGGAGGAGGAGCAGGUACUUACAGUUUGAGGGUAGGGAGAGGACAUGUUCUAGGACAUGGGACAUCAAGUGGAGAUGUCAAGAAAGUAAUUGAAUAUGCUGAGGAAGUUAAGCCUGGAAACGUGAUCCAGCGUAAAGAUGAUAAUUGAAACAAAGAUUCCCAUGGGACCUAGUAUAGGAUAGAAAGAAAAUGUAACUCCAGUGGACUCCAACAUUUAGCUUUUGUGUGGAUAGGGAGAAGGUAUCAAAAACUAAGUUGUGUAAUAGAGGGGAAAUUUUAUUUUGCCACACAUUUAGGGUGGAUGUCAGAAGGAGAAUGUUAAAAGAAGCUCUUGUCUUUCCAGUAAUCUUGCAUGACUGGCCAUAGCCUUUUAAAUUUUGAUUCCUAUGAAUCUCUCAAGCCAUGUCUCCUAAAGAUUGAACUUAUUCUGUGUUUUAAAACUUAAUGCUCUUUUUCCAAAUUCUAAUGAUAACCAGUUUUUGUGGCCCCCUCCCCUUUUUUUUUGCUACCUGACUCUACUUCAUAGUUAACUUUCUGGAAUAUAUUAGGUUUUCCAUAAUUAGCCUGUUUAAUGUAUUUUUAAUGGCAAAGUUCAGGCCUAGGAAUACAGUGCUUAUAUUUAGGAGCGGUUCUAAGACAAACACACACAC